CAGUCGAACGAGCGAGAGAGGGCUUGCUUUCUCAAGCGAGUGGCGAACCGGUGAGUAACGCGUGAGGAACCUGCCUCAAAGAGGGGGACAACAGUUGGAAACGACUGCUAAUACCGCAUAAGCCCACGACCCGGCAUCGGGUAGAGGGAAAAGGAGCAAUCCGCUUUGAGAUGGCCUCGCGUCCGAUUAGCUAGUUGGUGAGGUAAUGGCCCACCAAGGCGACGAUCGGUAGCCGGACUGAGAGGUUGAACGGCCACAUUGGGACUGAGACACGGCCCAGACUCCUACGGGAGGCAGCAGUGGGGAAUAUUGCACAAUGGGGGAAACCCUGAUGCAGCGACGCCGCGUGGAGAAAGAAGGUCUUCGGAUUGUAAACUCCUGUUGUUGAGGAAGAUAAUGACGGUACUCAACAAGGAAGUGACGGCUAACUACGUGCCAGCAGCCGCGGUAAAACGUAGGUCACAAGCGUUGUCCGGAAUUACUGGGUGUAAAGGGAGCGCAGGCGGGAAGACAAGUUGGAAGUGAAAUCCAUGGGCUCAACCCAUGAACUGCUUUCAAAACUGUUUUUCUUGAGUAGUGCAGAGGUAGGCGGAAUUCCCGGUGUAGCGGUGGAAUGCGUAGAUAUCGGGAGGAACACCAGUGGCGAAGGCGGCCUACUGGGCACCAACUGACGCUGAGGCUCGAAAGUGUGGGUAGCAAACAGGAUUAGAUACCCUGGUAGUCCACACUGUAAACGAUGAUUACUAGGUGUUGGAGGAUUGACCCCUUCAGUGCCGCAGUUAACACAAUAAGUAAUCCACCUGGGGAGUACGACCGCAAGGUUGAAACUCAAAGGAAUUGACGGGGGCCCGCACAAGCAGUGGAGUAUGUGG
rnacentral:rRNA from 1 species